AUACGAACGAGACUCUAUCCUACUAAGCGGCGAAAAGAAAGUUGGCUAAUAGACGGCAGGACCCCAGUUUGCCUUGAGGGAUAUGUCCGCCGUGUCUCUUUCUCGCGAAAGGGCUAACACGCGCGCCACGACGAGCUGCUCUCGCACACUCGCGCGCGACAUAGAGAUAGAGUUUGUGUCGUCGUAAGUUUUCUCUUUGAGAGAUACGGCGCGCCGACGCGCACACGCUCUGUCUCGACCCCGCGCGCGCUUUGUUGUUGAGACGCAUUUUUUACGUGUGUGUGUUCCGGGCGUGUAGAGAGAGACAAACUUUUUUUUUUAGAGGUAUGCGACUCUCCAAUGUCUAUAAGAAAGAGAGAGCAAUCACGGGUCUGUGAUGCCCUUAGAUGCCCUGGGCCGCACGCGAGCUACAAUGCCGAGUACAGGGGGUGACCUCCCCUUUUCAGAAAGGAACGGGUACCUCUUUUAAAUCUCAGGAGAAGAACGCACGCGCGACACGUGUACCUUGUGUGCGCGUCCGCGUGUGUUACUCUUCGUGGGCUCGCUUGGGCCUGGGGUUUGCAACUAUCUCCCACAAACGAGGAAUGCCUAGUAUUGGCAGAUCACUGAGUUUGCAGCGACUCAGUCCCUGCCCUUUGUACACACCGCCCGUCGCUACUACCGAUUGAGUGUACCAGUGAGAGUCUUGGACUGGCGAACCUUCUUCGUUCUAACGACGACGAAGGCGAACGACGGAAAGAGAUUCGAACUGGUGCACUUAGAGGAAGUAAAA
rnacentral:rRNA from 1 species